rfam:Oryza glumipatula chromosome 7, whole genome shotgun sequence.
AAAAAGACAAACCUUAGAUUUUCGUGUCCAACGUUUGACUGUCCGUCUUAUAUAAAUUUUUUUUAUAAUUAAUAUUUUUAUUGUUAUUAGAUAAUAAAACAUGAUUAAUACUUUAUACGUGACUUGUCUUUUUAAUUUUUUUCAUAAUUUUUUCAAAUAAAACGGACGGUCAAACGUUGGACACGGAAACUCAGGAUUUGUCUUUUU